UACGUAGGCAGCGAGCGUUGUUCGGAAUUACUGGGCGUAAAGCGAGUGUAGGCGGUGUGGUAAGUCGGAUGUGAAAGCCCCGGGCUCAACCCGGGAAGUGCACUCGAUACUGCCACGCUAGAGUAUCGGAGAGGUUGGUGGAAUUCUCGGUGUAGAGGUGAAAUUCGUAGAUAUCGAGAGGAACACCGGUGGCGAAGGCGGCCAACUGGACGAAUACUGACGCUGAGACUCGAAAGCGUGGGGAGCAAACAGG
rnacentral:rRNA from 1 species